AGCUUACUGGACCAUUUCUGACGCUGAGACACGAAAGCGUGGGUAGCAAACAGGAUUAGAUACCCUGGUAGUCCACGCCCUAAACGAUGCAUACUUGGUGUGAGCGAUUCAUUUCGUUCGUGCCGGAGCUAACGCGUUAAGUAUGCCGCCUGGGGAGUACGGUCGCAAGGUUGAAAUUCAAAGGAAUUGACGGGGGCCCGCACAAGCGGAGGAACAUGUGGUUUAAUUCGAUGCAACGCGAAGAACCUUACCUGGGCUUGAACUGUAGUAGUAAUUCCGUGAAAGCGGAACCUCCUUCGGGACUGCUAUAGAGGUGCUGCAUGGCUGUCGUCAGCUCGUGUCGUGAGAUGUUGGGUUAAGUCCCGCAACGAGCGCAACCCUUGUCCUUAGUUGCCAUCAGGUAAUGCUGAGCACUCUAAGGAGACUGCCCCGGAAGACGGGGAGGAAGGUGGGGAUGACGUCAAGUCCUCAUGGCCCUUACGUCCAGGGCUACACACGUGCUACAAUGGCCGGUACAGAGGGAUGCAAAGGGGCGACCCUUCGCAAAUCUCAAAAAGCCGUCUCAGUUCGGAUUGGGGUCUGCAACUCGACCCCAUGAAGUUGGAAUCGCUAGUAAUCGUGGAUCAGCACGCCACGGUGAAUACGUUCCCGGGCCUUG
rnacentral:rRNA from 1 species